AAGAGCCCAAACCGGAGUGCGUGCACUCCGGGGUUCGGACCGCAUUUAAGAUUCAGUGAUUCUAGCAGAAAGGUUUGGGAAAGCCUGCCGGAGAGGGUGAAAGCCCCGUAAGCGAAAGGAGAACUGACUGAGCGGGAUCCAGAGUACAUCGAGACACGAGAAACCUUGAUGGAAUGAGCGGGGACCACCCCGUAAGCCUAAAUACUACUUAGUGACCGAUAGCGCAUAGUACUGUGAAGGAAAGGUGAAAAGGACCCCGGGAGGGGAGUGAAAGAGAACCUGAAACCCUGUGUUUACAAGCUGUGGAAGUUCUUUAAAUGAACAACCGCGUACUUUUUGUAGAACGGUCCGGCGAGUUGCGGAUACUGGCAAGGUUAAGCACUUAAGGUGCGGAGCCGAAGGGAUACCAAGUCUUAACAGGGCGUAAAGUCAGUAUACGCAGACCCGAAACCGGGUGAUCUAUCCAUGUCCAGGUUGAAGUUGUCGUAAAAGACAAUGGAGGACCGAAGCCACAUCCGUUGAAAAGGGUGGGCAUGAGGUGUGGAUAGGGGAGAAAUUCCAAUCGAACCCGGAGAUAGCUGGUUCUCCUCGAAAUAGCUUUAGGGCUAGCCUCGAUUUAGUCUUAUGGAGGUAGAGCACUGAAUUUCCGCGGGGGCGUCAAAGCUUACCAAAGAAUAUCAAACUCCGAAUGCCAUGUAGAUGAUGAUCGGGAGUCAGACUGCACGAGAUAAGUUGGGCAGUCAAAAGGGAAAGAGCCCAGACCACCGGCUAAGGUCCCAAAGUGCGUGUUAAGUGGAAAAGGAUGUGGGAAUUCGAAGACAACUAGGAUGUUGGCUCAGAAGCAGCCAUACAUUCAAAGAGUGCGUAACAGCUCACUAGUCGAGAGUUCCUGCGCCGAAAAUGUCCGGGGCUGAAACACGACACCGAAGCCGUGGACUCGCAAUGCGAGUGGUAGAGGAGCAUUCUUAAAACCGACGAAGCUGUACCGUAAGGAGCAGUGGAGGGAUAAGAAGAGAGAAUGCCGGAAUGAGUAGCGAGAGAAAGGUGGGAAUCCUUUCGGCCGAAUAUCUAAGGUUUCCAGAGUAAAGCUGAUCUGCUCUGGGUAAGUCGGGGCCUAAGCACAGGUCGCAAGACGUAAGCGAUGGAUAACAGGUUUAGAUUCCUGUACCACGCAUUAUCAGAACUGUAGGGACGCAUGUGGAAAGCACGAGCCGGGAAUGGAAAGACCGGUACAAGCGGGGUAGGAGUACAAUAGGCAAAUCCGUUGUAUGAUCCGAAGACGUGAUGUGGAGCGAAAUAAAGUAGUGAAGCGUGUGAGCCAUGUGCCGAGAAAAGCUGCUAUUGUGUAAUGCGUGCCCGUACCGUAAACCGACACAGGUGGAUGAGGAGAGAAUCCUAAGGCCGACGGAAGAAGCAUUGUUAAGGAAUUCGGCAAAAUGACCCCGUAACUUCGGGAGAAGGGGUGCCUGCGAGAGCAGGCCGCAGAGAAUAGGCUCAAGCAACUGUUUAGCAAAAACACAGGUCUAUGCGAAACCGAAAGGUGAAGUAUAUGGGCUGACGCCUGCCCGGUGCUGGAAGGUUAAGAGGAGAGGUUAGCGUAAGCGAAGCUUUGAAUUUAAGCCCCAGUAAACGGCGGCCGUAACUAUAACGGUCCUAAGGUAGCGAAAUUCCUUGUCGGGUAAGUUCCGACCCGCACGAAAGGCGUAAUGAUUUGAGCACUGUCUCGACAAUGCAUCCGGUGAAAUUGAAGUACCAGUGAAGAUGCUGGUUACCCGCGCCAGGACGGAAAGACCCCAUGGAGCUUUACUCCAGUUUGAUACUGGGAUUCGGUACUGCA
rnacentral:rRNA from 1 species